ncrna:unclassified sequences Hatchet ribozyme sequence
CUCUUUAAGGUGAGAAUCCUUGACAAGCAUGUGGGGCUUAUAUCUAUCUAUAAACAAGGAGACGGACUAAUUUUUAUUAGUACAAGGAGUCGGUUAUAGUAGUAUUAGUGCAGACUUUAAAAUCAUGC